CCCAGAGAACCUGUGUCUACUUCUGAGCGCUGGGAAUGAAGCAGAUCUCGCAAAAGGGGAGGAAGGCCUUCACCGCUGAACCCGAGCUUUGCCAUUUCGAAGUGCUGAGUCACCUCGUCCUCUCAGGGUCAGACACUUUCACGCAGGAAACGUCCUGCAGAGCACCGCAGCGGGAGCACCGAGCUGAUGUGGAAACUCAGAGAGGAUGCCACUGUUUUGAACUAUUUUGAAGGCACAGCCACCAGAGCUUUAGGUCAGAAGAGGUCCUUGGAACUGGAAUUACAGGUGGCUGUGAGCCUCCAGGUAGGUGCUGAGAAUCAAGCAGCCUGGCUCCUCUGUAGGAGCUCUAAGGAAUGCUCUUACCUGCUGAGCCAUCUGUCCAGCCCUGAUUGUCCUGGCUGUUAAUUGAGGAAGGAAGACUUACUCUGAGGGAGGGCUGAGCCAGUCCCCAGGCUGCUCCCUGAAUGGUAUGUAGAGGAGGGGAGCCAGCUAAGCACUGACCAGCGAGGGUGUGCACAUUUUCUUUGGUCUUUGUUUUGAAUGUGGUGUGGCUGGCUGCUUCAAUUCCUGACUUGAUUUCCUCAAAAGGAUAGGCUGUAACCCAGAAUGGUAAACUGCCUU
rnacentral:lncRNA from 1 species